rnacentral:rRNA from 1 species
CUUGACAUGUUCAGGACCGUCCGUGAAAGCGGACUUCCUUCGGGGCCUGAUCACAGAUGCUGCAUGGCUGUCGUCAGCUCGUGCCGUGAGGUGUUCGGUUAAGUCCGGCAACGAGCGCAACCCGUAUCGUCAGUUACCAUCGGGUCAUGCCGGGGACUCUGGCGAGACUGCCCGUGUCAAGCGGGAGGAAGGCGCGGAUGACGUCAAGUCAGUAUGGCUCUUACGCCCAGGGCUGCACACGUGCUACAAUGGCCGGUACAGUGGGAAGCGACACCGCGAGGUGGAGCCAAUCCCAAACGGCCCAGUUCAGAUUGCAGUCUGCAACUCGACUGCAUGAAGUCGGAAUCGCUAGUAAAGGCGUAUCAGCAACGACGCCUUGAAUACGUUCCCGGGCCUU